CCAUUCUGUUCAAAAGUUUUCACCCCCCGGCUCUUAAUGCAUGUUUUUUCCUUCUGGAGCAUCAGUGAGCGU